UGGGGAAUAUUGGACAAUGGGCGCAAGCCUGAUCCAGCCAUGCCGCGUGAGUGAUGAAGGCCUUAGGGUUGUAAAGCUCUUUUGUCCGGGAAGAUAAUGACUGUACCGGAAGAAUAAGCCCCGGCUAACUUCGUGCCAGCAGCCGCGGUAAUACGAAGGGGGCUAGCGUUGCUCGGAAUCACUGGGCGUAAAGGGCGCGUAGGCGGACUUUUAAGUCGGGGGUGAAAGCCCAGGGCUCAACCCUGGAAUUGCCUUCGAUACUGGGAGUCUUGAGUUCGGAAGAGGUUGGUGGAACUGCGAGUGUAGAGGUGAAAUUCGUAGAUAGUCGCAAGAACACCGGUGGCGAAGGCGGCCAACUGGUCCGAAACAGACGAUGAGGCGCGAAAGCGUGGGGAGCAAACAGG
rnacentral:rRNA from 1 species